UGCCAGCCGCCGCGGUAAUACGGAGGGUGCGAGCGUUAAUCGGAAUUACUGGGCGUAAAGCGCGCGUAGGCGGUUUUGUAAGUCAGAAGUGAAAUCCCACGGCUCAACCGUGGAACUGCUUUUGAAACUGCUUGACUAGAAUCCGGGAGAGGAUGGUGGAAUUCCAGGUGUAGGAGUGAAAUCCGUAGAUAUCUGGAGGAACAUCGGUGGCGAAGGCGACCAUCUGGACCGGUAUUGACGCUGAGGUGCGAAAGCGUGGGGAGCAAACAGGAUUAGAUA
rnacentral:rRNA from 1 species